GAGUUUGAUCAUGGCUCAGGACGAACGCUGGCGGCACGCCUAACACAUGCAAGUCGAACGGAGAUAUUUUGGUUUACUGAGAUAUCUUAGUGGCGGACGGGUGAGUAACACGUGAGCAACCUGCCUYUGAGAGGGGGAUAGCUUCUGGAAACGGAUGGUAAUACCUCAUAACAUAACGAAGCCGCAUGACUUUGUUAUCAAAGAUUUAUCACUCAGAGAUGGGCUCGCGUYUGAUUAGAUAGUUGGUGAGGUAACGGCUCACCAAGUCGACGAUCAGUAGCCGGACUGAGAGGUUGAACGGCCACAUUGGGACUGAGACACGGCCCAGACUCCUACGGGAGGCAGCAGUGGGGAAUAUUGCACAAUGGGGGAAACCCUGAUGCAGCGAUGCCGCGUGGAGGAAGAAGGUUUUCGGAUUGUAAACUCCUGUCUAAAGGACGAUAAUGACGGUACCUUAGGAAGA
rnacentral:rRNA from 1 species